AGAUAGAGGCGCGAGGUUCAUCAGUAAGCCCAUUGCUUGGAAGCAGCUUUCGCAGGGGCUGAAAGGGGACAUCGCCGAAGGAGGCCACAGCAGCUGCGCUCGGCUUUCCUGGGCCGUCGGAUAAGAUCCGCCGGACUGUCACGCAAGUGGAGCGCUAUCGU
rnacentral:ncRNA from 1 species